rnacentral:rRNA from 1 species
CCCGCUGAGUUUUAAGCAUA